GGGAAAGCGAGUCCGCCCGCCCCUUGCUCCGGGACGCCAAUUCGACACGAACGUGACUGAGGAGGCCCGGGCGGGACUACAACUCCCAGAGUGCAUCACGCAGGCGGACCUACGAGCCGCGACAUGGGACAAACCCAUUUAGAACGUUUUGCUCUUUCCCCGCCAUUCUAUUGGCCCGCAGCCGCCGAGCGAGAGAACGAGCCCCCCCGUCUGAUUGGUCCGCUGCCGCGGGGCGGGGAAUAUAAACCGGGCCGCCGGAACUGCUGCCUUUCGGCUGGGGGGAGCUGGGGGCUACCGCUGGGCAGCGCCGCGCAGGCGUGACCUGGAUGUUCGCUGCCUUUCCUCUGGCCUGGAGGGGAUUGGCUCUCCUGGGGAUCUCCUGAAGAAAUGGAUCUGACAUACUGUGACUUUCCAGCCCAGCUUUACUUUACUGUCAAUUUCUCACUUCGUUAGAAAAAGCAAAAACAAGGGGAAUAAAUGGUUUUUGGUUUUCCAAUAAAAGCUUCCACUUAA